AGGCCCUGAAGUUCAAAGAGUUACCAGAUUACACAAAGGUUAUCUACAGGCCAAGCAAGCAAAUUGAUGGUAUACCUGGAUGUAGCUCCUUCAAGAUUGCAUCAAAGGGAUAUACCAAGCAAUAAUAUGAAGAAAUUAAGCAUAUUACCAAAAUCAUUGGCGCUAACCU